GAAGGUGUACUUCCGGGUUUAGGAAUAUGUUCCCGCCUCCUCCGGGUGAUCGACCAAUCAAGUCCGAGCGCGGCAUUAAACGCCUGAAGCAGGAAAUGAAUGUUCACUUGUCAGUUGGGAACGUUCACGUAUUAAAAUAAUACUUUUCAGGCACAUUUAAAAAACAACAAAGACAAAAGAGUUGACUUAAAAUGCUGCAGGAAGCAAAAAAAACCACCAAACGAGUCUGACAGACUUUAAAACGAGACGGAAACACGGAGUAACCGAAGAAUUGUCACAUGGACAUCUCGAAAAACAAGAGAGGAGAAGCCGAGGAGCCAAGAUCACAGCUGCCUUUUUGAGUUGCAGUAGGAGGAGGUAUAAUCCACUGAUGUCUCCGCCAAACUUUAGAGAAUUCACCUGGGAGACAGAAACAAGAGCCAGCCUCUCUGCAGGAAGAUGUUUUCGCUCCGACAGGAUGGAGUCUUUGCUCCCCACGUUUGCAUGCAUGCAUGCAUGUAUGUGUGUGUGUUGUGUGUGCCGCUAUUGUCUCCCCAGGGAGGAAACCACAAUACCACCCCUGAGCUCAUCUCCCAGCCGACGUGCAGCAUCGAGGCGAGCAGACAGCUCUCGUGGGCAUCAGGCUCACUGCGACGCCAGCCUGAUGGACAGGGGCUCGACGAUGGCACAACGUUUUUAAAGACAAUUGUAUUCUGUGUUAUCAGGAUAAGAACUCCCAAGAUGAAGAUUGAAAAAAAACAACACAUUUUAAUAGUAAUACUAGUAAUAAUAGUAGUAAUACUACGCAAAUGGGGAAAGGAAUAGCGCUUCUCGGGCAGUGGAGCAACUCGAGGGUUCCAGGUUCCAUCCCCGCUUCUGCCAUCCGAGUCACUGCCGAUGUGUCAUUGGGCAAGGUACCUGCUUUCCCUUCACCUAUUAACAGUAAUCAGUAAUCAUAGUAAUAAGCACUUAAAGGUAAAAAUUGACUGCUGUGUACAAUAAAAACAAUGUAACACUUAUAUUGCAUGUUGAGAAUGAUACAUGAAUGAAUGCUUCAUUUCAAAUAAUAAAUAACAAAAAAAGUAAUAACAGAAUGUGUGACCAUUAAAUAUCAGACUGUAAAUAAAUGUCGAUGUUAUGAAGUAAAAAGAGAAUGUUAUAACUAAAUGUAUGUUUAAUUUACAUUUUGUACUUUAAUGUUACGUAACAAAUAUGUGAAUAUACUGCAAUAUAAUAAUAAGUGUUAUUUUUACAAGGUACCUGUGUUGUACUUGAUGUACUUCCAAGUGACUUUGUCAAGUACUAGUAAAGGAAGAGAUGAUGAAGUACUUUAAGUGUGUUUUGGAGAAGUACACUUUUGGAGUGUUUAUUUUGUCCUGAGAUGAAGAUAAACGUCUGUCGUUCUUCAUGAAGACUCGUUAUGAGUGUGAACAUGACCAAAGUAGGCGUGUCCACAAAGAAAGAAGGAAGGGGUGCGGAGCCUCUUUCAUUUCGUAACAGAAAGGUCGUAAAGUGGAUGUGCUGAGGAAUAUAUUAACUGACUAAAUUCUAUAGCUAAAGAAAUGUAUGAAAAAUAGAAGUUUUAUGAAAUACUGUAAUAAUUUACAGUAUGUACUUCAACUCUGCUUCUCCGUCAAACACACCAUCAGCAGCUUCACCAGAGUUUCAUUGAGAAAUGUUAAAAGGUUAUCAUAUUAUAUAAACAUGGACACUAGCGGACAUGAAGGAUGUCCAGAUCAGUAGGUUUGGUAUUGACUGUAUGACUUUACAAUGUAAAAAUAGGCCAUUUGAUAUAUUUUACAGUCAGAAUAAAAGUUAUAGUGUUAUGCUCUGUUUGAUGUGUUGGAUUCUGUCUUCUGAUUUGUACUUUCAUUGUGUACUUUUCUUAUAUUCUAUGUACAUCAAACACACCUUUUAUGUAUGUGUUCUCUUGUCAGCUUGUUGAUUUAUUGUCAUCAAUCCACAGUUAUAUGU